AACGAACGCUGGCGGCAUGCCUAACACAUGCAAGUCGAACGAGACCUUCGGGUCUAGUGGCGCACGGGUGCGUAACGCGUGGGAACCUGCCCUUAGGUUCGGAAUAACUCCCCGAAAGGGGUGCUAAUACCGGAUAAUGUCUUCGGACCAAAGAUUUAUCGCCUUUGGAUGGGCCCGCGUUGGAUUAGCUAGUUGGCAGGGUAAAAGCCUACCAAGGCGACGAUCCAUAGCUGGUCUGAGAGGAUGAUCAGCCACACUGGGACUGAGACACGGCCCAGACUCCUACGGGAGGCAGCAGUGGGGAAUAUUGGACAGUGGGCGAAAGCCUGAUCCAGCAAUGCCGCGUGAGUGAUGAAGGCCUUAGGGUUGUAAAGCUCUUUUACCCGGGAUGAUAAUGACAGUACCGGGAGAAUAAGCUCCGGCUAACUCCGUG
rnacentral:rRNA from 1 species